GCAGAACGCGAAGAACCUUACCAGGGCUUAAAUGCAGUCCGACAGGAUUGGAAACAGUCCUUUCUUCGGACGGAUUGCAAGGUGCUGCAUGGCUGUCGUCAGCUCGUGCCGUGAGGUGUCAGGUUAAGUCCUACAACGAGCGCAACCCCUGCCGUUAGUUGCCAGCGAGUAAAGUCGGGAACUCUAGCGGGACUGCCGGUGCAAACCGUGAGGAAGGUGGGGAUGACGUCAAAUCAUCACGGCCCUUACGUCCUGGGCCACACACGUGCUACAAUGGCAGGUACAAUGGGCAGCCACUGCGCAAGCAGGCGCGAAUCCACAAAACCUGUCUCAGUUCGGAUCGGGGUCUGCAACUCGACCCCGUGAAGCUGGAAUCGCUAGUAAUCGGAUAUCAGCCAUGAUCCGGUGAAUACGUUCUCGGGUCUUNU
rnacentral:rRNA from 1 species